rnacentral:lncRNA from 1 species
CUCGAUCUUCACAAUCUUCAGCUUGUCCUUCGGGUAGGAUUCCUCAGCCUUCUCCACAACCUUGCUGAUCAGCUUGCACGGGCCGCACCAGGUGGCCCAGAAGUCCACGAGCACCGGUACGUCGGACUGUUCGACGCGGAGGAAUUGUUUGGGGAUGGAAACGGCGGGGUCAGGUCGGCGUUCGAGGUUUGACGUGGUCGCGAUCGGAUCUGGGGCGGGACUCGGUUGCAAAUCCGUUGGCGGAAUCGCCAGUUGGCGCCAGUCGGGGAUAAGGGGGUCGGGCGGUGGACGCACCUCGAGGACCUCCUUCUUCCAGUCCGAACCGGCGAUCUCCUGGACCGCGCGGGUGGUCACGCUCCUCCUAGACGCGAACCGGGCGGGCGCGCGCGUCGCGGCGAGCGCGCGGGUGGAGCCAACCGCGCGCUUACCUCCCAGGCGCGAGCAGGAGACGCGGUUCGGGGCGCAGAGCGACAGGGUGGUGGCCAUCGUUCGACCGUGUGUGUCUCGUCACCGACUGGGGUGAGGUCGACGCUGAACGUUGAAAGUCGGCGGUCGGUGAACGCCGAGUGCG